UUUUUUUUUUUUUUUGUAUUUCUAGUAGAGACGGGGUUUCACUGUGUUGGCCAGGAUGGUCUCGAUCUCUUGACCUUGUGAUCUGCCCACCUCAGCCUCCCAAAGUGCUGGGAUUACAGGCGUGAGCCACCGCGCCCAGCCUGGGGAGGUGCUACACACUUUUAAAUGACCAGAUCUCAUGAGAACUCACCAUUAAGGGGAAUGGUGCUAAACCAUUCAUGAGAAAUCUGCCCUCAUGAUCCAGUCACCUCCUACCAGGCUCCACCUCCAACACUGAGGAUUACAAUUAGACAUGAGAUUUGGUGAGGAUACAGAUCCAAACCAUAUCAGGGAAGAAUAUUAGACCCUCUCAUGAGUCAAAUUUAGAGGCUGAGUUGGGACUGUAUGCGGGACCAUCUAUCACAGGGCAGUUAUCUGCCUGCCACAGCUCUUACUUUUGGGAAGACCACAUUUGGUCAGAUAAGGCCGCCGUCACUUCCUCCUAUGGAUUUUCAGGGAGGUUGGCUCUUACUAUGACGACAUAGGUCUCAGUUCAAUAAAAAGGAGAGCUCCUCUAUCAGGAGUCAGAUUGAGGAAUCUGAGUGAGAAUUCAAGGGACCAUUGAACCCUUAACAGUGGAGACAUCAAAGAAUCCAGUUCAACCCUUUAUUUUCAGCCCUAGAAGGCUCAGGAAAGGGUUAUCAGUUCUAGUGUCCCCCUCUCUUUUUUAUAUAAGAUCUAAGAGAGGUGAGAUUCUUAGUCUGAAGCUGUAGCCACCAGUCAGCAGAAGGGGGCUGGUGCCAAGCCCUACAUGAAGCCAAGGUGGGGACCUUGAAUGAGAGCUGAAGACUCUAAUGAUUCCAAGACAUCAAAGACCUCACUGAACGCUCAGCACUGGGUGUCAUUUGUCAGAGUGGUGGAUUGAGGCACCCCUUCAAUUCCUUCUCAUGAAUCCAGGGAGCUUUGAGGUGUCAAAUUCACAAUGGCGGAAGGGAGUGGCUCGGGCCCUGCCAAGACUUCAUAAGAUAAUCCUAAAAGUGAACUGAUAAAACCUCAAAUACCAGAAGACAGGAGGCCCCGCUGCCAGUACCUCCUGUCACCAUAGUAAGCCCAAGGCAGGGCUGACAGAAUGCAGUCUGAAACUCACUAUAGAGGUUCUAUGGUUCUUCUCUGGUGUCUUAGGGGAAAGGCUGACCAGGACAACAGGAGCAUUGUGGCUUUCUAGAACAGUGCCUUCAGGGAAACUUGCAAAGGCAGGCUUCCUUCAAUAAAGCCAAGAUGGGGUCUUCCAGCUAAAGGUGCUCACAGAUUUCUUUCUCCCAUCUCCAGGUAUACUAACCACCUCUUCUGCUCACAUUUCUUAGUGUACCCAGCCAUCAUGCCUCGUGGUCAGAAAAG
rnacentral:lncRNA from 1 species